rnacentral:rRNA from 1 species
AGAGUUAAUCCUGGCUUAGGACGAACGCUGGCGGCGUGCUUAAUACAUGCAAGUCGAGCGAGCUACUCGGUAGCGAGCGGCGCACGGGUGAGUAACGCGUAGAUGAUCUACCCUCGAGACUGAGAUACCUCCGGGAAACUGGAGUUAAUACCAGAUAACGCACAUUGGUUGGUUCUGAUGUGUUAAAGCGGUGCAAGUCGCACUUGAGGAUGAGCCUGCGGCCUACCAGCUAGUUGGUGGGGUAACGGCCUACCAAGGCGAAGACGGGUAGCUGAUCUGAGAGGAUGAUCAGCCACAUUGGGACUGAGACACGGCCCAAACUCCUACGGGAGGCAGCAGUAGGGAAUAUUGCGCAAGUGGGGGGAACCCUGACGCAGCGACGCCGCGUGAGUGAUGACGGCCUUUUUGGUUGUAAAGCUCUGUAAAGAGGGAGAAAUGUUAUAGUGAAGAGCUAUAAUUGAUGGUACCUCUAAAGUAAGGACCGGCCAAAUACGUGCCAGCAGCGGC